UUUAAUUGGAGUUCCAAUCUGCUUGGGUUAUGGAUUACAUUUUUUCUUCUAUUUUUAUAAAAAAUCUGUUGGUCACUCUUUUUGUCAAACAAGGAAUUGUCACCGCAAGCCCUCAACAUCUCCCCUCGUCCGUCCUUUUCAAAAAAAAAAAAAGAAUUGUCGUUGCAGCCCUCUCCUGACGCUGCAUCUCGUUGCUCUUGGUAAUCCCCUUGUUUGCUAUCAGACCACUCUGGUAAAUUCUCCUCUUUUAUUUCUAUCGCUGCCUUCUCCUCUCUAUUUAAUUCUUAACAUCCGAAUACUGAGUUAUUUAUUAAUUAAUUUGUCAUAAGAAUGAAUUGAAGUUUGAUUUUUUGUAUGUGGAUAGAUGGGUACUUAUUUACUUAAUUUGGGCUGGGAUUCAGAGGAAAACGAUAAAUUAGGAAGUCAUAUGUUGCACUAAAUUUUAAGAAAUCAGUGUACAAGCAAAUAUCACUGGAAUGAGGGGACUGCCUUCACUAAGAAAAGCAUGAGAAGGGGAAAGGGGGAUUAGAGAAUAGAGAGAAGAAGAGGGAAUUGAACAGAGAGAAGUGAGAAAUAGGAUUUCGUUCAUUGAUUGAUACUCCCAAGUGCUAUACAAUGGUGUAUAUACACAGGCUCAAUUUAUUUAGCCAACUAUUUAUUACUAAUGCUAAUCCAAUGUAAUUAGCUAACUAACAGUUCUAUUAGCUAUUCUAGACAUGAAGGAGCAGUUUGGAUCAAACCAAAGAUAAUAAGAGUGUUGUUCCAUUAAACAGCUAAAUAAUAGUAUAUAUAUUACCUUGUCCCCAGCUGCUAGAAUUACUAGUUGGCCAUCUUCAGCUGGCUUUUUGCUCCUUGAAACUGGAGCUUCAACAAAACAACCACCCUUUCAUGUAAUGGCCUGUAAUCAUUCACUAUUAGUAUUUCACUUCAACUUACUAAUUCUUUGUUGUUCUAAUAUGUGCAGUAUUCAUCAUAAACUUAAUUCUGAUAGUACACUGCUUCAGCUCUAGUGUAAAACAAGUCAAGAAUUAAUAUUCCCACAUGCAAUUCCAACCUCAAUAAUCUUUGAAGAAGUAUCAGCAUCAACGGUUGACAUGUCUAUAUACCCCUUCCCACCACAUAUCUGCUCAAGAGCACCAUCUUAUCAGGCUUUUAAGAUUUCAAAGACAAAUUACCCCUGCUUUAGUUGAACCUGGUCAGUGAUGGAAUUUUGUCCAGACCAACAGAUCGAUUUUCUGCUGUGCUUUCUGCUGCACAUUGUUCAGUGACCACUACAACCUUCUCAUGGUAUAUAACACCACCUGUUCGUCUUUGGGUGCAUGAUGGUACAGCAACGUAAAUAACUAGAUGAUUUCAGCUGCUUGAAAGUCUUCAAGCCAGUCAUGAUCCUAAUGAGCACAGCUACUGCAGUCAAUAUGACCUCUACCUUUGUUUUUUACCAAAAAAGGAUUGUAGUUUUCCACGAGAUGUUUAUAAAUUGAUCCUUUAGUACAACCAAUUGGAUAUUCCUGUUUUCUGGUAAUUCUUUUUACUAAAAAUUACUAGGAACCUCAGACCUCUCUAUUCCUUCGAGGUAGGGUUAGGUCUGCGUACACACUACCCUCUCCAGACCCCACUAGUGAGAUUUCACUGGGUCGUUGUUAUUGUUGUUGUUGUUGUUGUUGUUGUUGUUGUUAUAGAUGUCUUGAGGUAAUAUCCGCCUGUGUAGGUCUCUCUGUCCUCUGUUUAUUCUACUUUAAAUUUCUAAAGCAGAUUCUCCUUUUGUUUUCUCUUAAAUGUUAACUUUAUUAGUGUCUAUCACAUGAACUUCGAAUAGUGAAAGAGUAAAUAAAUUAUCCGCUUAAUGCUUUAAGCGUUAUGAACAGAUGGUUGGCAUAUUGCUCUUCCCUUAAUUUUUUUGGUCUC
rnacentral:lncRNA from 1 species